UAGUGAAAUUUCAAAACUUUUAUUUUGCAAGCCAGCGAAAUUUUGGUUCCUCUCAUCUCUCUCACAAACUCUCUCUCUCGGCAAACUAUCCCUCAAAACUCCCCCAUUUUGGUUCUUCCGUCUUCGCCGCCGCCCCACUCCCCUAUUUUCAGUUGCUAACUCGGCCGCUUCCCUACCCUGUUCGGUCAACCACGACCCCUGCACCAAUAAGCCUUCGCUCUCUUUGCUAGCACAAAAAGAAUAAGAAAAUAGAUACUCGUGCUCUUUCCUUUUUCUUCGUUCCUCUGAAACCCAUCCCCAUGCUUCUCCUUACUGACUAGAUAUUCAGGUUGAGCGUGCCGAGGAGUAGAGUAGGCGAAGGUUGCCGCUAUCAUCUCACUGGAGUCCAGCCACUACAGCGGAAAUCAUCACUCAGGUCCAUUGAAUACAACUUGGGACUCCAGAACUUUGAAAGAAGACAUGGAAGAUAUGUGGAUUCAUCCCAAUGUUAAUAAGGAAUGGAUGAAGUCAGGAGAGAAAAAGGGAAAAGUUCAAUUUUCUCAUGACACAGAGAGGAGGCCUUAUCUUUCCCAUGUGGAACUAAGGGCUCCAGGAAUGGUUCAAUGAUGAGGGAACUCCAAAUUCCGCUACUAGGAAGUCACCAUCUUGGAAUUGAUGAUACCAAAAAUAUUGCAAGAGUGGUACAACACAUGCUUAUAGAUGGUGCUCUUUUGCAAAUUACUGCAAGGAGAUUACGUGGUUCUCCUGAAAAAGUUGAGUUUCUAUUUGAAAAUGGUGGGAGUAUAUUGGCGUCACUUGGUUCCUUUCAGCAAAUGUGGUUUUCAAAAUCUGAGUUUGAGGAACAUGGAGCUUCAAAUGUUCAAACAAAAUGCCCGUAAAGUACUUUACUGGUGCAGACAAUUAUCACAUUAGACAGAAAUUCAUGGAGCUGACUUCACUUUGAUUAGUUCGCUGACGGUAUGGGUUGCUCGGUUUUAAUAUCCUGCUUUAUAGGCGCCCAAACAAUGUACUAUAUAUAUUUACUGUACCUCUCACGAAUCGUUGCUAAUGUUGUACAAUUACGUUACCUGACUUUUAGUUCAACAAAUUAUACUUGUUAGGGAAUCUUUCAAGUUUGUACUUGUUACUGACUUUUAGUUCAACAAAUUAUAUUUGAACAUUGACUUUUACUUUUAGAUUACUA